rnacentral:antisense_RNA from 1 species
AAAGUACCUGGACUUCUAUGCCCAUGCUUCUAGCAGCCAGCCUCCUAAAAUACCUCUAGUUGAAGCCAAAGUUAGAAUCCUUCUAUGAAACUACAGGAUUAAAAUGGGAUGGUUACAUGACCCAGGCUUGACCAAUCAGAUCAUCCAAACCCUUUGCCACAGUGAUUGGUCCAGGGAUACAUGCAUGAGCCAGCUCAGGUGGCAUUGUAUUAUGCACCAAGAGUGAACCAGAUAGAGGAAGUUGCUCCUUAAGCUUGCAGGUCUGAAAGAACAGGGAAUUAUCUCUCUUCAAAGGCCUAAACCACACUCAUCUUGUGGAUGACACUGGAGCUGUGACAGUCUGUUCUGUCCAGGCUGGGUGUCUUUUAUUUUUACUGGAAAUAAGAUUAUCACAGGUAAGAACAUCUGGCAUAGGCAUAGUAGGUGACAGGUAAGAACAUCUGGCAUAGGCAUAGUAGGUGACAGGUAAGAAUUAGGUGAUUUGAUUGUAAUUGGUUAGCUUCCUUAGGUAUUCCCAGGAGGAAGUAAUGGCCUCAGGGGGCCUCCAAAAAAAAAAAAGAUCUCGUGAAAUUUCUUUCUCUUGGUGGAUUGAGCCUGGGGCUAGCUCAUAUGAUGACUAUGGGACCUUCAAUUUGCUGAAUCUAUCCACAAGCUUCUACACUCUUUAGGAGAUUGGUUAAAAGUCUCUUGAAGACACCAAGAGGCUCAGAAGACUGAGAACUUGUAAGGAAGUUUCAUUGUUUUUGAAGGGUUUUUUAAUUAUCCCCAAAUUUUACUUGUGUUGGUCUAUCUGUGGAAAUGUGUGGUAUGUACACACACACAAACCAUACUACAGACAAUCUCAUAAUAUGAAACAUUAAAGUUUUGUUUCUGUUGUUCUG